rnacentral:rRNA from 1 species
UCUUUAUAAUAAAUUUAUUUUAAUAAAUUAUUUCAUUAAAAUUAAUAAUUUAAUAAUUAAUUAUUUUAUUGGGGUGAUAUAAAAAUUUGAUAAACUUUUUUAACUUAAUUUCUUUAAUUAUAGGUUACAAAAUUUAUGAUCUAUUAAUAAUAAUUCAAAGAGUAAGA